UACUAUCAUCUAUCACUGUGUAAUUGAACCCUUGUCAAUAAAGCUCGCUUUAUCCUAGUUCACGGCAUGUCUGUCUUUAAUGUUUGCAGUUGGCUUGAUACAUACCUUGGACCUCUAGUUGUAUUUUGAAUUUCAUAAAAUAAUGUGGAAUUCUGUUGUUUGGUGAUUUCUAAUGUUGGUUGAAUUGUUUGGAAUUUUGACAGUCCUGGAUUCGUAGUAUUGUAAAUUUUUAAAGGUCUUUGGUGAUGUGAAGUUGUGAAUUGGCCUAACUAGAUUUUGAUUUUUGGUUUUCUUAAGGAACAAUAUGCAUGUGGUUGAAUGAAUGAAAAAUCUGUUAGGGUUGCAUUCUCCUUAUGUGUUGUUGAUGAAUGAAGCACACCAUUUGUCUUGACUGGAAUAUCACUAGAUUAGAAUAAGAUGUUUGGGGAUUUCUGAAAUUUCAUUGUUGAUAUGCUUACUAAUAUAGUAAUAUUACCAAGUAUUUGAUUCAGUUUCCCAUGUUUGAACCAAACACCCUCUCCAUGCAUAUAACUUGAUAUCAGGCCAGGCCAUAUGUGCUUAGUGAUAACUACCAGUAAAAAACUGUGAACUUAGGGUGAUAAACUAAAUCUACAAUUAAGAAAACUUUCACACCAUUAACCUAAUUAUUUAGGGUAAUAAACUCAAUCAGUCAUAGUCCUGCAAAAAUUCAGUAAGACAACUUCUAUUCAUGUAUUGAAUUGUGGAAAUUUAUUUGAUUAAUAAUUUGUGUUUAUACUGUAUUAUUAUGCUAUUUGACAUCUUAGAAUAUGUCUACAUUUUGGUUUUGAAUAAGAUUUCUAAAAAAUAUAUAUAUUAUUAAACGAGCGUACAAGUCCAGUAGUCCACUCAACAGAUGGAGCACUAAAUUUUUAUAGCUUCUACUAUGCUCUAUUGUUAGGCAGAUAAUUGUCCAAAUAUAAUACACAGCACAAUAUUCUUUCUGAAGAAAGGAAGAAAGAGAUUAGAUGUCCAAACUAUCUCCAACAAAUACCUGUGUAUUGCCAGCAUCUAUUGGUGAAGGUUUACAAAUCAGUGUGCAGCUGACGCGUAGAGAUGGCCAGAUCUUUUACAACAUGUUGUUUGAGAACAACUCCCAGAUUCCACUAGAUGGAUUCAUAAUUCAGUUCAAUAAGAAUACAUUUGGGCUCGCUGCUGGGUAAAUGAUAUUCAAUAGAACGCUUUGUUUUCCAAUUCAAACAUUGAAAUUUCAACAUUCUUGAUGGGAUGGAUGUCUUUCCUUCUGUCUGCUUUGAAAUGUUAAUUUUGAUAGGUAUCUCAAUUGCAACCAGGGAAGUACUCUGUUGCCCAUGGUUUUGUUCCAAGCACCCUUUUGCAGGUUGCUGUGAAAAAUAAUCAACAGCCAGUGUGGUACUUCAAUGAUAAGAUCUCCGAGAAUGACAAGAUGAUUAUGCGUUCCACUUUUCUUGAGACAUUGCCUGAUUCAAAUUAGAUAUAUAUCAAAGGACUUCCCUGAGCUGGUCAUAAAACCCUUGACCGAUUAGCUACAUACAACAUGUUUUUCAUUGCCAAGCGGUAGAAUGCUAACCAAGACGUGCUGUGCUGUAUCUUUCCUCGAGGAAUUUCUUUCUUGAUUGAGCUCACAGCCACCAUUGGAAGUCCUGCUCUCAAGUGUGCAAUCAAGACUCCUAACCCUGAAAUGGCUCCUCUUUUCUUCCAAUCUUUCGAGCCUCUACUCAAGAGCUGAUAAUCUGUCUAUCUCCUCCACAUCCUUUUCUCUAUCAUUUGUUUGGCUUUUCUUCUUCUGAGUGGGUCCUCAAUUUUCCUUUUGUAUGAUGCUUAGCUUAGUGAACUUCCUACUCGAUCGCAGCCCCUUUCAACUCACUCCAAUUUUAUUCAUUUCAAACAUUUUUAGGAAUUGAAUUUUUGUAGGCCUCAUGCAAAAUGUUACUGUAUUAAAAGUUUACCCCUCAAGUCCCUGAUUUAUUUCACAUUCAUCAAAUUCAGGGAAAAUUGUAAUUUUUGCUCCACCAUAAUAUGUCAAUUAUUAAUGUCAUUCCUAAAUUAUUAAAUUAUUA